GCUACAUAUAACAUUAACAAUAUAAGACUUCACGCAUCAGCUAAUAGGGCUACAGUCCAUAUCUAGCCUGACAGAGCGUGCAGAAGUUGCUUGAAUGAAGAAAAGAGAACUUAUUGGGCGAGAAAACAAAAAAUUGUGUUUUUCUUGUAUACAAUAGCAGUCUGUCACCACGUGCAAGCACAUAAUAUUCUGAAACAUCAGCUUAGGUGGUCGCGUACCAAUCAACUGUUUCUGCUCACAAGAGAAUAUGCAAUCUAUAUCAGAUUAAAGAAGAUUAAAAAAUUUGAGAGCUUGAACAUUAAGCAUAUGACAAUCUUUCCAUAGAACGCUAGUAGAAAUUUACCUGCUUUCAAAUUUUACCAUCAGAAAAUGUGAUUGAGAUGUUAC
rnacentral:lncRNA from 1 species